rnacentral:rRNA from 1 species
ACUUAAAUUGAAGAGUUUGAUCAUGGCUCAGAUUGAACGCUGGCGGCAGGCCUAACACAUGCAAGUCGAGCGGUAGCACAGAGAGCUUGCUCUCGGGUGACGAGCGGCGGACGGGUGAGUAAUGUCUGGGAAACUGCCUGAUGGAGGGGGAUAACUACUGGAAACGGUAGCUAAUACCGCAUAACGUCGCAAGACCAAAGUGGGGGGACCUUCG